rnacentral:lncRNA from 1 species
AAUUUUCCAUCAGGCUCUCAACACCAUUACCAGGGGUGAAGAAUGAUCUCCUUCCAGCUAGUUUUCCAGUAACUUCACAGGGGAAUUAAGGUUGAAAACGAACUCUUUCUGGCUAGCUGGUGAGCCUUUAAAUUAACUUUUGCACUCAGUGAUAAAUUCAUACCCAUCAAGAUACUAUGUUGAACCUAACUCUUCCCAUUAAUAUAAGUUUUAAAACCACAGAACUGUGCUAAUAUCAUAUUUUUUUCUUGACUCCUGUUUAAGUUAGAGCUGAAAGAGGAGUUACUUUCUGUAUAACUACAAUUUUGUUUACAUUUUUCUCAGGUGAGAUUUAAGAAAAAGGACAGACUAUCUUCAAAGCAUCAGUAGCAGAGGAAACUCCUUUUAGACAUCAUUCAUAGAAGCUUUGAAUGCCAUUUGAGCUCAAGCACACAUAACUUUGAUUAAUUCAGGAGGAUUGAGUGUAUUAAUUCACAUUUCUUU